AUUGAACGCUGGCGGCAGGCCUAACACAUGCAAGUCGAACGAGUGGCGGACGGGUGAGUAAUGUCUGGGAAACUGCACGAUGGAGGGGGAUAACUACUGGAAACGGUAGCUAAUACAGCCUACCAUCGAAUGUGCCCAGAUGGGAUUAGCGAGUAGGUGGGGUCACGGCUCACCUCGGAGACGAUACCUAGCUGGGCUGAGAGGAUGAACAGCCACACUGCAACGGUGCCACGGUCCAGACUCCGACGGGAGCCAGCAGUGGGGAAUAUGGCACAAGGGGCGCAAGCCUGAUGCAGCCAUGCCGCGUGUAUGAAGAAGGCCUUCGGGUUGUAAAGUACUUUCAGCGAGGAGGCGUUACUCGCAGAAGAAGCACCGGCUAACUCCGUGCCAGCAGCCGCGGUAAUAC
rnacentral:rRNA from 1 species